rnacentral:rRNA from 1 species
AGUAUGGUGAUAGCUGGUUCUCCCCGAAAUGCAUUGAGGUGCAGCCUCAAUCUAAGAACGCAGGGGGUAAAGCACUGACUAGGUAAGGGGGCGGUCCCGCCUACCGAGCUUAAUCAAACUAAGAAUACCUGCGCAUCAUGAUUGGGAGUGAGACUGCGAGUGCGAAGAUCCGUAGUCGAAAGGGAAACAGCCCAGACCACCAGCUAAGGUCCCGAAAUACAGGCUAAGUGGAAAAGGAUGUGGGGAUGCCCAGACAACUAGGAGGUUGGCUCAGAAGCAGCCAUCCUUCAAAGAGUGCGUAACAGCUCACUAGUCGAGUGACCCUGCGCCGAAAAUGUACCGGGGCUAAGCCUGAUACCGAAGCUGCGGAUUUGAAUAUGAUUCAAGUGGUAGGGGAGCGUUGCAUACAGGUAGAAGCCGUACCGUGAGGAACGGUGGACCGUAUGGAAGUGAGAAUGCCGGUGUGAGUAGCGAGAUGUAGGUGAGAAUCCUACACACCGAAAGCCCAAGGAUUCCAGGGGAAGGUUCGUCCGCCCUGGGUAAGUCGGGACCUAACGCGAGGCCGAGAGGCGUAGUGGAUGGCAAGCAGGCGGAAAUUCCUGCACCCGUACAUGGAGCGAAGGAGUGACGGAGAAGGCUAGUAUGACCCUCUUAACGGAUUGAGGGCGAAGCGAGGUACCUGAUGGUUAGGCAAAUCCGGCCAUCGAAAGGGGAAGACGUGACAGGUAAGCGAACGUUUCGGCAAGUAGCGAAGCAUAUGAGGCCAGCUUCCAAGAAAAGCUUCUAAGCCUAUGCAUGUGCGGCCCGUACCAAAACCGACACAGGUGGGCAGGGAGAGUAUCCCGAGGUGAGCGAGAGAACUGUUGCCAAGGAACUCGGCAAAAUGGCUCCGUACGUUCGCAAGAAGGAGCGCUCAUGAAGAGUGAGCCGCAGUGAAGAGGCCCAAGCGACUGUUUAUCAAAAACACAGCUCUCUGCGAAGUCGCAAGACGAAGUAUAGGGGGUGACACCUGCCCGGUGCCGGAAGGUUAAGAGGAUCUGUCAAUCGCAAGAUGAAGCAGUGAGUUGAAGCCCCGGUGAACGGCGGCCGUAACUAUAACGGUCCUAAGGUAGCGAAAUUCCUUGUCGGGU